GGUUAAGUUAGAAAGGGCGCACGGUGAAUGCCUUGGCACUAGGAGCCGAUGAAGGACGGGACUAACACCGAUAUGCUUCGGGGAGCUGUAAGUAAGCUUUGAUCCGGAGAUUUCCGAAUGGGGAAACCCACUGUUCGUAAUGGAACAGUAUCUCAGCCUGAAUUCAUAGGGCUUUGAAGGCAGACCCGGGGAACUGAAACAUCUAAGUACCCGGAGGAAGAGAAAGCAAAUGCGAUUUCCUGAGUAGCGGCGAGCGAAACGGAAUAUAGCCCAAACCAAAAGGCUUGCCUUUUGGGGUUGUAGGACACUCUAUACGGAGUUACAAAGGAACGGGGUAGAUGAAGAGACCUGGAAAGGUCCGUCGAAGAAGGUAACAACCCUGUAGUCGAAACUUCGUUCCCUCCAGAGUGGAUCCUGAGUACGGCGGGACACGAGAAAUCCCGUCGGAAGCAGGGAGGACCAUCUCCCAAGGCUAAAUACUACCUAGUGACCGAUAGUGAACCAGUACCGUGAGGGAAAGGUGAAAAGCACCCCGGAAGGGGAGUGAAAGAGAUCCUGAAACCGUGUGCCUACAAGUAGUCAGAGCCCUAUGUCUUUCUUCUGAAAGAAACGGGUGAUGGCGUGCCUUUUGUAGAAUGAACCGGCGAGUUACGAUUUCAUGCAAGGUUAAGUUGAUGAGACGGAGCCGCAGCGAAAGCGAGUCUGAAUAGGGCGAAUGAGUAUGAGGUCGUAGACCCGAAACCAGGUGAUCUACCCAUGUCCAGGGUGAAGUUCAGGUAACACUGAAUGGAGGCCCGAACCCACGCACGUUGAAAAGUGCGGGGAUGAGGUGUGGGUAGCGGAGAAAUUCCAAUCGAACCUGGAGAUAGCUGGUUCUCUCCGAAAUAGCUUUAGGGCUAGCCUCAAGUGUGAGAGUCUUGGAGGUAGAGCACUGAUUGGACUAGGGGCCCCCAUCGGGUUACCGAAUUCAGUCAAACUCCGAAUGCCAAUGACUUAUCCUUGGGAGUCAGACUGCGAGUGAUAAGAUCCGUAGUCAAAAGGGAAACAGCCCAGACCACCAGCUAAGGUCCCAAAGUAUACGUUAAGUGGAAAAGGAUGUGGAGUUGCUUAGACAACCAGGAUGUUGGCUUAGAAGCAGCCACCAUUUAAAGAGUGCGUAAUAGCUCACUGGUCGAGUGACUCUGCGCCGAAAAUGUACCGGGGCUAAACGUAUCACCGAAGCUGUGGGUGG
rnacentral:rRNA from 1 species